UUUGGAAAUAGAAGGGUUAGUUUUAUGGUCAGGAUUGAAGUGGCUGAGAGCGUCCAAAGGUACCAGCAGCCUUUGAACAUCACCAACAGAUGUAAGCGCCUGCAUGUGGAUUUCUGGAACUCCAGGUAUGGGACAGCUGGCAGCAGUCAUCUUCAUCUUGGUAUUGGUAUCUACACACCAUCUCACUGCAGGUGAUGGCCAUGAUCCGUUGCUUGUCUUGGAUGGUUAUGAGGAUGACGGUAUUAGACUCAAAUGUUUCUCUGGGAGGUUGUUUUCUGAAGUCCAGGUGUUGUGGACAGACGGUAGAGGAGGUAAUCUCACUGGGACUCCUCUCACCACCGACACCACCACUGCUAAUGCCAGCAGCUCCAUCAUUCUGAAACCAGAAUCUGGAAACUCUGUGUCCUGCAGAAUAAUCGAUAAACUGCUGAAAACAUCAACAGAAUCUUCAGUUGUCAUUGCAAAUGUCUUCUUUCCUGCCACCUCCCCUUGGCUGGCGGCUUUCAUCGUGAUCUUGCUCUUGGGCAUAUUCCUGGUUAUUGCUGCAAUUUAUAAACUCAGAAAGAACAGUAAGAUUACUACUCGUGAAAGUAAGUCUUAUUAUUACUAUAUUUAAAAGUCAUAUUAAUACUGUAUUUCAUCAUGAACAUCUUGAAAGAUAGGUGAAACACUGGAAAUGUUGGCCAGUGAUAGAAACCAUGGGAAUAAAUAGUUGUAUUCCUAAGUUUUUUUUAUGACA
rnacentral:lncRNA from 1 species